UACAGAGGGUGCGAGCGUUAAUCGGAAUUACUGGGCGUAAAGCGUGCGUAGACGGUAGCGUAAGUCAGAUGUGAAAGCCCCGGGCUCAACCUGGGAACUGCAUUUGAGACUGCUCUGCUCGGGUGCGGAAGAGGGAAGCGGAAUUUCCGGUGUAGCGGUGAAAUGCGUAGAUAUCGUAAGGAAGACCAGUGGCGAAGGCGAAUCUCUGGACAGUUACUGACACUGAGGCACGAAGGCCAGGGGAGCAAACGGG
rnacentral:rRNA from 1 species